GUCAGGAUGGCCAAGCGGUCUAAGGCGCUGCGUUCAGGUCGCAGUCUCCUCUGGAGGCGUGGGUUCGAAUCCCACUUCAGAAA
rnacentral:tRNA from 1 species